rnacentral:siRNA from 1 species
AUACAGGCGUUGCUGGUUGGG